AAAAAAUGUCAUAUAAAUAUAUGUUCAAAACUUUCAUUAAGGAACUAUAACGAAAAUUCAAAAUAGCAGUAUAAUAAGUUUUUCCUUGGAUACAAAAUCGAUCUGUAAUAUUUAUUUAAUUUGUUUAUAUAAUAAUAUUAUAACUAAACUGUUUCAUUGACUGAAUGUCAGUUUUCACAAUGAAAGAAUUUACGACACAAAUCAUUUUUAAUGGAAAAUGAUUUAUACUGAUUAGCUUCUGAAUCCUCAUAUGCAACUCAGUUGUGUUUGACAUUAUCAUCCAUGCAAAUUAUAUUUAUUUCAUUUUUAUUAAUUUAUAUCUGUAUCUGGAAGUGAUUGAUCAACACGGGAAAUGAUGGCCAGAUUUUUUUAAAAAGAGUUAUUUUAUCUAAAGUAUCAUCAAUAUCUAAAUAUAUAUUUGUGAAAGUAUAUAAUCAUAGAUUUGCGAAACAAAAGAAAUAUGUAAAAGGUCACCUCACAGAUUGUCUGGGUCAAAUGGCCCAGGUAAAAUAGAUAUUGGCCCAAAAAUACAUAUUUUGAGUUCAAUUUUUAGUUUAUUAUUCAAUUUUAGGUCUGUCUCAUCCAUAUUAAAUAUAUUUCUCGUUUUGUUUAAGAGAUAUUCUCGUAAAGUUUGCCCAAACAUUUACAUAUGUAUAUGAAAAUGUAGGUCAACUUCUACCCUAUUUAUACUUUGGCACCGAAAAAAAGAAAUACCUUCUGAUUUUCGAACACUGAAAUCUGGAUGCCGUUUCAAAAACAUAUUUAGCCAAUCAUAUCCAGCAUAUCCUUUUUCCUUAUUAAAUUCAUGAUUUAUUUCCAAAUUUUCAGUCAAAUUA